UACCUCAUUUCCGGCUGCUGUAGCGACUCGCAAGUUUUUACUCCUGUUGCCUCGAUUUAUACUAUGAGCGCGCAUGCGCUACGACUCUCACUCAGUGGCAGCGGCUGUCGAGGAGUUCGGAAGUUCAAAAUGGCCGCAGCGACGAUAGUGGAGUCGGGGCUGCGGGGGCGCGGAAUUGAUGAUGCUGAUAUUUCUGAGAGAAGUGCAAAUGAAGAAAAUGGGGAUAUUUCAGAAGGAGACCAACCUCAAACUAAACACAGCCGACAUAAAAAAAAGAAACACAAACAUCGAGGUAAACAUAAGAAACAUAAACAUUUUUCAGAAGAAGAUAAGGACAAAAAACACAAACAUAGGCACAAACAUAAGAAACAUAAACGAAAGGAGAUUGCUGAUGCCUCUGAUAAAGAAGAUGGGCCAGCAAAAAGAACUAAAAUUGAUUUCUUAGCUCCUCUAGAAGACUUAGAGAAACAAAGAGCUUUGCUUAAAGCUGAACUUGAAAAUGAGUUAAUGGAAGGAAAAGUACAGUCUGGGAUGGGAUUAAUAUUGCAAGGUUAUGAGUCAGGUUCUGAAGAAGAGGGAGAAAUCAAUGAUAAGGUGAGAAACGGGACUAGAUCUGCAACUAAAUCAGCAAACAUUAAAGGGAAACCAGAGACUGUAGACAAUAAAACUAGUUCAAAGAAACAAAGUAAGAGCAGAUCAAAAGAACGGACUCGACACAGAUCUGAUAAAAAGAAAAGCAAGUUGGGAGUUGAUGGAAUAAAAGAGAAAAUGAGAAGUAAAUCAAAAGAGAGAAGAAAAUCAAAAAGCCCAUCUAAAAAAAUUAAGUCUCAAGACCAGGUGGGAAAAUCAAAAUCUCCAACUCUUAAAAGGCGCUCUCAGGAGAAAAAUAGGAAGUCCAAGUCUCCAGAGGAUAAGACUAAAGCAGAAGAUAAAAUUAAGUCUAGAGAUCGUAAAAAAACUCCAGCAGUUAAUGAAAGUAAAAGAGAUCGUGGCAAAAAAUCAAAAUCUCCAGUAGAACAAAGAAGCAAAUCCAAAGACAGACGAUCAAGGUCUAAAGAUCGAAAAUCCAGGAAAUCAGAGACUGAAAAAGAGAAAAAGCCCACUAAAUCUCCUUCUAAAGAUGCGUCAUCAGGAAAAGAAAACAGAUCUCCUAGUAGAAGACCUGGCCGCAGCCCUAAGGGAAGAAGUUUGUCCCCCAAACCACGAGAUAAGCCAAGACGCAGCAGAUCACCUCUCCUUAAUGAUCGCAGAUCUAAACAGAGUAAAUCACCAUCUCGAAAUCUGUCUCCUAGGAGAGCAAAAAGCAGAUCUGCAGAGAGAAAAAGAAGAGAAUCAGAAAGGAGGCGGUUUUCUUCUCCCAGAACACGAACUAGAGAUGAUAUCCUCUCUAGACGUGAGCGAUCAAAAGAUGCCAGUCCACCUAGGUGGUCUCCAUCCAGAAGAAGAUCCAGAUCUCCCAUUCGACGAAGAUCACGCUCGCCUCUUCGACGUAGCCGGUCUCCAAGGAGGAGGAGUAGAUCUCCUCGGAGAAGGGAUAGGGGUCGACGGAGCAGAUCUCGUCUUAGGAGGAGAUCCAGGUCAAGAGGUGGCCAUAGACGGAGGAGUAGGAGCAAAAUAGAAGACAAAUUUAAAGGUAGCCUUUCUGAAGGGAUGAAGGUUGAGCAAGAAUCCUCGUCGGAUGAAAACCUUGAAGACUUUGAUGUUGAAGAAGAAGAUGAGGAAGCUUUGAUAGAACAGAGAAGAUUACAGAGGCAAGCAAUUGUUCAGAAAUACAAGUACCUAACUGAAGAUAGUAACAUGUCUGUGCCAUCUGAACCAAGCAGUCCGCAAAGCAGUACUCGCAGUCGCUCAAACUCACCUGACGACAUUCUAGAACGGGUUGCUGCUGAUGUUAAAGAGUAUGAACGGGAAAAUGUGGAUACUUUUGAAGCCUCAGUGAAGGCUAAGCACAACCUCAUGACUGUUGAGCAAAAUAAUGGUUCGUCUCAGAAGAAACUUACAGCUCCUGACAUGUUCACAGAAUCAGAUGAUAUGUUUGCUGCAUAUUUUGAUAGUGCCCGCCUUAGGGCUGCUGGCAUCGGAAAAGACUUCAAAGAAAACCCCAAUCUCAGGGAUAACUGGACGGAUGCAGAGGGGUAUUACCGUGUUAACAUAGGUGAAAUUCUAGAUAAACGCUAUAAUGUAUAUGGUUACACUGGCCAAGGAGUUUUCAGUAAUGUGGUGAGGGCCAGAGAUAUGGCAAGAGCAAACCAAGAAGUGGCUGUCAAAAUCAUUAGAAACAAUGAACUUAUGCAAAAAACUGGUUUAAAAGAACUGGAAUUCUUGAAAAAACUCAAUGAUGCAGAUCCUGAUGACAAAUUUCAUUGUCUGCGAUUGUUCCGGCAUUUUUAUCAUAAGCAGCAUCUCUGUUUAGUAUUUGAACCACUCAGUAUGAAUUUACGAGAGGUAUUGAAGAAGUAUGGAAAAGAUGUUGGUCUCCACAUAAAGGCUGUACGAUCCUACAGUCAGCAGCUGUUCCUGGCAUUAAAACUUCUUAAGAGAUGUAACAUCUUGCAUGCUGAUAUCAAACCAGACAAUAUUUUAGUGAAUGAAUCUAAAACUAUUCUAAAACUUUGUGAUUUUGGAUCAGCUUCACAUGUUGCGGAUAAUGAUAUCACGCCAUAUCUUGUCAGCCGAUUUUAUCGUGCUCCUGAAAUUAUUAUAGGCAAAAUCUAUGACUACGGUAUAGAUAUGUGGUCUGUAGGCUGUACGUUAUAUGAACUUUACACAGGAAAAAUAUUGUUUCCCGGGAAAACAAACAAUCAUAUGUUGAAACUUGCUAUGGACCUCAAAGGAAAGAUGCCAAACAAGAUGAUCCGAAAAGGAGUGUUCAAAGAUCAACACUUUGAUCAAAAUCUCAACUUUAUGUACAUAGAGGUAGAUAAAGUAACAGAAAGGGAAAAAGUCACUGUCAUGAGCACCAUUAAUCCAACAAAAGACCUGCUAGCAGAUUUAAUUGGGUGCCAACGCCUCCCUGAAGAUCAACGCAAAAAGGUGUGUGUGUGCAGGCCACAGCAGCAUGCCCUUGGUGUAGUCAGUGCCGAAGGGGUCUAUUCCUUCUUGAGCCUGCCCGCAGGGAUGGUCUCCUCUUUUAAAGCAGGUUGCGUACAACUUUCAGUACACUGAAGGUAAGCUAAACCAUCAACAUCACUGGUAUUUAAGAUGUUAAUUGUACUGGAGCAACUGACAAAUGAGAGUCAAUAGCUUUGUAGCAGAAUUCCCUGCAUGUUUUAUAAAUGAUCUUGUUUUUGUUUUCUGACAUUACAACUGUGGCAUAACUCCAACUUCUGUUUGAUCAUCACAUUCAAAGAAAAAAUUGGGAGAGUGUGCACUUGAUGGAGAGAGCGCCUUCAGUGUACUGUUUAUUACUUUCACUUUUAAUAAAUCAACUUGCUAUAUAUAGACUUUAUACAUUUUGUUAAAUACGGUUCACUAUGGCAUAGAACCAGUCCUUAGAGAAGUUUUCAUUUACUAACAACAAAUGUUGAGCUCUGAUUCUAAAAGUCCUUAUCUCAUGGCCAGAUAGAGAACACCAUAAUAAAAUUUUUAGCUGUAUGUCAUAUGAAAGUGUACUGCUUUAUGCUAAAGGUGUUUUUCAUUUGUUCAUUGUUUUCAUUAUUUGUGAUCAUGUUGUCUUUCAAUACAGGCAUAAACCUUCCACUCUUGAACAAAGCAGCUGCUUUUUAAAAGCGGUAAUUGCUUCUUUACCUUUUAUUUCUUUUGUAAAUGAAACUUUCUUUAAGAAAUGUGACUUUAAAGUGUUGUCUCUUGCAUAAAACAGUUGACAUUCACUUAUUGUAAAGUGAAGAUUGUUCUGCUGCAUGUAAAGUGGACCAUGCAGAUUUCUGUAUGUUUUCAGUAUGCAUCAUUAGAUAAUAAAGUCUUUUGUGAACAAGGCAUUUGUAGCCAUUUUUAAAAUAUUUUUGUCUCCAGUGUUGCUGACUCAGGUAAUCCUUCAGAAAAAUAUUUCAUUUUUAUAGUUAAUUAAAGCAGUUAAUAAAAAUGUGGCCCUUUGAAAUAUAUUAGAUUUGUAAUUAUCAGCAUUUCAGUAUAGAUACUAUCCCCAUCUUCCUACAGAUACUAUCUGCUUCAUUGUAAUGAAAUUUAUUCCUGUAGGUUAUUGGAUUCGAUGCAGGUUUUAACUAAUGUUUGUGCUGUUUUUCUUACUUUUCCUUUUUGAUGGUGCUGAGAGAGACAAAGGAAAGCAAGUCACAGGCCACUCAACGCCUACUCCAGGGGGUCUGGUUUGCUGAGACACCAACUUCACCUUCCUAACAAGGUGCCGCUCAAAUGAAGAAGAUGGCAACCAGAAGACAUGAACAAAGGGUAAGUGGCAGAAAAUCUCUAUUUGCAUGGACUGACGUGUGCUCAGGAGGCAGAUCAGACUGUGAACAUACAGAAGGCUGAUAUUUUUUACUCUGUGUGAGAUUGGCAAACUGUAACGAACUUGUGCAUCAAAAUGUGAAACAGUGUUUUGCUUUAAGAAUUGUUUUUUUACCAUUUUCCCCCCUACUCGGACUCUUUGAUAGCUCAUUAUUCACGUUUUUUGUAUUUGUUUAUUCUGAGUACUGUUGAAUGUUAGAUAACAAUGCAAUAACACAUUCCUAAGAUGUGCUUUCAACCAUAUAGUCAUCAUAAGUGACCUCUUGAUUUAGUCUGGUGGUUCAAAGAACACCACAUUGUUAAUGUGCCAUUUCUCUGGAUUUUGUUUUCCUCCUGUAAGAAAACACACCAUCCAACUGGAGCAGCUUCUUUCAACCAAGGAGUAAUCUUUGUUACGAGCCCUAAAAUUAGGUUAUUGGGCAGUCUUUGCAAGUUUAUCUAAGACAAAUGGGGAACCUGUGGCCCUUCAGAUGUUAGUGGACAACAAUGCCCAUCAGCUCCAGCCAGCAUAGCCAGUGGUCAGGAUGAUGGAAGUUGUUGUUCAACAACAUCUUGAGGGCCACAGGUUCCCUAUCCCGGAUUUAAGAAAACAGAUUGUUGGUCUCGUCUGAAAGGUGGUUUCCCCAGGUAUCAUGCCAUCAGGUGGUGGUUCUGCUGUUUCCAUGGGCGACAGCAGAAGAACCACCAAUGGCAUCUAUCUGGGGAAAGUUCAUUGGUAUCUGGCUGUGUCACAUUUUAAAUGUGUUCAUUUUAAGUCAGACUGUGAAGAUGCUCAGGUUUCAACUUUGUGAUAAUGCAUAUAUUCAUAAACUACCACCAAUGAACACAGAUACUUAAAAGUUAUUCUUUCACUUCUGCUUUUCUUAAUAGUAACUGUCAAGAUUUUCCCUUCAUCAAGCAAUUGUGAAUGCUUAUGAAAACAUUUGACCCAUUCAUUCGAAGUUACUAAUAAAAUGAGAAUUAUACAAAA